GACGUAGGGCGCGAGCGUUGUCCGGAUUUAUUGGGUUUAAAGGGUGCGUAGGCGGCCCGUUAAGUCAGUGGUGAAAGCCUCCAGCUCAACUGGAGAACUGCCAUUGAUACUGGCGGGCUUGAGUACAGACGAGGUAGGCGGAAUUGAUUGUGUAGCGGUGAAAUGCAUAGAUACAAUCAAGAACACCGAUUGCGUAGGCAGCUUACUAGGCUGUAACUGACGCUGAGGCACGAAAGCGUGGGGAGCGAACAGG
rnacentral:rRNA from 1 species